rnacentral:lncRNA from 1 species
GCGUGAGCGGAUCACCAACAAGGAUCUUCAGGCUGACUGGAUGGGGCGUGGCCCAGGUUCCGUCUAACUCUUUUGUAAUCGUGUGUAGGGAAAAGGGAAAGUUUUUGGUGUGAAAUGGACCGGUAGUUAGUAAAAUAACGGUAUGACCGGGGAGUUGGGAGAGGCUAGGGCUGCUUCCAUGGAUAGGCCAAUUAGAAGCAUCGUAGUAUUUCAUACGAUAGAUGCUUAUAGCAAGUGAGGAAAGGG